rnacentral:sRNA from 1 species
ACUUCGGAAAGGAGGUGGUUCGGCAGAUGUAUGCAUACCGGACGGAAGAGGUGGCUGCGGGCUAGCGGCCCGUCACCCACCACGUGCGGUGCCGGACCAGCGUGUGAGUGAUACACGCAGCCGGCCAAUUCCACGCAGUCACCCGACCCGCGAGCUCGCCGGUACGUCCGGCCGGCUCCCCCGCCCCGGCGGAGGGACCAGAGCUCGCGGGUCGCUGCGU